GAUGAACGCUGGCGGCGUGCCUAAUACAUGCAAGUCGAGCGAACAGACGAGGAGCUUGCUCCUCUGACGUUAGCGGCGGACGGGUGAGUAACACGUGGAUAACCUACCUAUAAGACUGGGAUAACUUCGGGAAACCGGAGCUAAUACCGGAUAAUAUAUUGAACCGCAUGGUUCAAUAGUGAAAGACGGUUUUGCUGUCACUUAUAGAUGGAUCCGCGCCGCAUUAGCUAGUUGGUAAGGUAACGGCUUACCAAGGCAACGUUGCGUAGCCGACCUGAGAGGGUGAUCGGCCACACUGGAACUGAGACACGGUCCAGACUCCUACGGGAGGCAGCAGUAGGGAAUCUUCCGCAAUGGGCGAAAGCCUGGCGGAGCAACGCCGCGUGAGUGAUGAAGGUCUUCGGAUCGUAAAACUCUGUUAUUAGGGAAGAACAAAUGUGUAAGUAACUAUGCACGUCUUGACGGUACCUAAUCAGAAAGCCACGGCUAACUACGUG
rnacentral:rRNA from 1 species